rnacentral:rRNA from 1 species
UGGGGAAUAUUGCACAAUGGGGGAAACCCUGAUGCAGCGACGCCGCGUGAACGAAGAAGGUAUUCGUAUCGUAAAGUUCUGUCCUAUGGGAAGACAAUGACAGUACCAUAGAAGAAAGCUCCGGCAAAAUACGUGCCAGCAGCCGCGGUAAUACGUAUGGAGCGAGCGUUGUCCGGAAUUAUUGGGCGUAAAGGGUACGCAGGCGGUUUAAUAAGUCGAAUGUUAAAGAUCGGGGCUCAACCCCGCAAAGCAUUGGAAACUGAUAAACUUGAGUAGUGGAGAGGAAAGUGGAAUUCCUAGUGUAGUGGUGAAAUACGUAGAUAUUAGGAGGAAUACCAGUAGCGAAGGCGACUUUCUGGACACAAACUGACGCUGAGGUACGAAAGCGUGGGGAGCAAACAGG